UCCCGGCGGUCCAAGUCGCAUCCACAUUUAUUGGGUCUAAAACAUCCGUAGCUUGUUUUGUAAGUCUCUUGUGAAAUCCCAUCUCUCAAAUUUGGGGCGUGCAAGAGAUACUACAAGGCUUGGAGAUCGGAAGACGUAAAGAGAACGAUUGAGGUAGCGGUAAAAUGUGUUAAUCUUGGUCGGACUAACAAUGGCGAAGGCACUUUACGAGUACGAAUCUGACAGUGAGGGAUGAAGGCUAGGGG
rnacentral:rRNA from 1 species